CUUUAUGCAUGAAAGUGCCAUACGAAUGUCUUUCUACAGACUAACAGUAUGAAACCUCCUUUACCUUCUUUUUCAGAAAGCCUCGUCUCUCUCCUUAUCUCUUCACCUUCCUUGCUUUCAUCGUCUUCGUAGUCAUCCUCUAUGGCGAAGACUUCAUGUGCAUCUUUGGCCAGCUUUAACCACCUCCCCGCCCUCUCCAUCUCUCUUUGCUAGAAGAAGAAGAUGCCAAAAGUACCGUUCGCGAUAAGGAGGACGGAGGGACGAAUCGACUCGGCCGCUCUAUGAAGAAUCGGAGUGUCCGUACAUUCAACAACAGUUGACGUGCAAAGAGAAUGAUGUUUUUUGGUGACUCAUUGAAUCGUGGGCAGUAAAUGGUGUGUCUUCUUCACAGAAACAUCCCUGAACAUUCUAAAUCCAUGGAAACAUCUGGUUCUUUAACUUUCUUCACAGCCAAGGUCACACCUUAACCAAUUAACCUUAUGUGUUAUUAAUUGAUUCAUUAACAUAUUUGCUUGUAUAUAUUGAUUUCUAUCUCUAUAUGUUUUAAUAUUGUAGGACAAUAAUGCCACAAUAGAGCUCUACUGGGCGCCAUUUCUUCAUGAAUCAAAUUUGGAUGAUGCUGACUGAACAGUUGUAUAAGCCAAAUCAAACUUGACAAUAAUUUUUUAACAGUUUUGUUUGAUUUUAUAAUUUAAACCGAAUUAUGCACUAACAUGAAAGGCCCAUUCGUAUUGUUUCUUUCGUUUAGUUCAAGGUGAUGAGCAGAUCCUGUUAAUUUGUUGAUUGGCGUAAGGAAAAUUGAACAGUUCCAUGUAUUGUUUAGGAGUA